AGGAGAGAAAAUAGAAAUUAAUUGAUACAGAAAUGAAUUGAUACAAUAGAGCUUUUGAAAAAUAGUUUGAUCUGAUUAUUUCAGGUCAGUUGAUUUCUAAAUAUUCAAAUAACACUAGAAAAUAAUCUCAUUAUUUUAAAGUACCAGAGCCACCUCCGAAAGCUGUUGAAGAGGCUGAAGUACCUCCAGCUCCUGUUACCAAAAGGGAAAGGAAAGUUCCUGAACCAGUAAAAGUGCCUGAAAUUAAGCCAGCAAUACCUCUCCCUGCGCCUGAACCAAAACCAAAGCCUGAGCCAGAAGUGAAAAUAAUCAAACCACCUCCGGUGGAGCCCCCGCCCACCCCCAUCGCCGCCCCAGUGACGGUGCCCGUGGUCGGAAAGAAAGCAGGUAGUUAUUCUGUAGUUUUCAUUUGUUUGUUUUGGUGGCUUAAUAAAAGUUUUCAUCCUUCAUUAAAAUG
rnacentral:lncRNA from 1 species